UUUUUUUUUUUUUUUUUUUUUUUUC
rnacentral:ribozyme from 13 species